UCCAAGCCUGACAACGACUCUUCACGCACGACACUUGCCUUGCGUUCGUGACCUUGGUGUUGGGCUCGUCAAGGCUAUAAAAAACAUCACCUCAGCGCCUCCAACAUUUAACAGAGAAAAUGAAAGUUGUGGAAGUUGCCCUCGCCUCACUGUUAUCGACAAGGCGCCUCAAAAACAGACCCGUCACGGCAAGUUAAGGGGAAAUUUAUCAAGACGAAAAGAAAAGUUUGUUGGUGUUGUCUUCGCCUCGCCUUCGGCCGCCAAAACGCCACGAAAUAUUGCAAAACUUUUGUCUUUUAUCUUUUUAUCUUUUUAUCUUUUUAUCCUCAGGGGAUCUUUCUUUCGGACUACAGAGAUCGUUCUACGGCAGUGGUUCUGAAAGGUUUCACUACCACGCCCCCCUAGGAAUGGGUUCUUUCCUUCACACCCCCCUUGCGUAUAUAGAUAAAGAUCCCUUACAUAUUUUUUUUUUAACUAAUGGCAGGCCUAAGUAGAUUAUAGAAUUAAGAGGCGAUAAUUUUGCCUUUUUUUCAUAAACCUCAAUGAUAGCCCACGCUCUUUUUAAGACAGGCUACUAAUAAGUAUUCCAACAACUGAAAUUACAACUUUUCCUCAAGGGCUCGCUCACACCCUUGGAAAUUUUUAACGCCCCAAAGGAAAGCGCGCCCCCCAGUUUAUGAACUACUACCUGUUCUAAGGUGAUGCUAGCCAACACCACAUUGCUGUACACUAUGUAUCACAAGAAAAGUAAAAUAAAAAAGGAAAAUCCAAAAUGCAAACUGAAAAUUGAUAAAGCUUUGACUCACUAAUAAAAAAAGUGGAAGUAUUUCGUCUCGGGUGUCUUUCUUACAGAUGCGAUCAAACGAACUCGAAUAACGAAUGACUCGAAUAACUUCAUUAAAUGGGUAGAAUAAUGUGAUGUUAAAACGGAGAACACUAACAUGAUAGUCCUCCAAUGCCCCUCUGUAGAACAAUAUCAUGCAGAAUAUUAUAACGUAACACUAGAUUGUAGAAGAAUGUAGAAGAAUGUGAUGUAGAAUAAUCCUAUAAUGUACAAUGUAGAGCAAAGGAGAAUUAGGAAUAAUGUGAAGUAGAAUAAUGGAAUGGAAUGGACAACGUGGAGUAAUGUAGAAUGCAGAAUAAUGGAGGAUAAUGGCAUGUAGAAAGGUAAUGUAGAAUGUCAAAUAAUGUAGAAUAAUGUAGAAUAACCUUAUGCAACGUAACGCAGAAUGGAGAACUAUGUAAUGUAAUGUUAAUAAUGAAUGUAGAAUGUAGAAUAAUGAAAUGCAAAGUAGAAUAAUAAAUUGUAAUUUUUUUUUUUUUACAGCAGAGGACAGUGCAAGGGCGUAAAAAAAAAAGAAAACAAUAAUGAAAAAAAAAAGCCCACUAAUUUAAUAAUAUAAUGUUAAAACGGCGAGCUCUAAGAUGCUAAUCCUCCAAUAACUCUCUAAGCCACCCGUCUUUCAGCUUCGUAAUGAGUUCCUGCUCAAGUCCCGAACCUCAUUUCCUUGCACCUGUUUUGCUCAUGACCCGACGUCUCGUCCAUUCACACUCACAGCGUUUCCGGGGCAAUUACGGCUUUUUCCUCAUUAAUGAAUGGACCAGUUCUCAAAAGGGAGCCAAAGUUGGGCGAGUAAUAGUGGUCUGCUAUCUUUUUUACCACCAGCGAUAGUGCGGAUUAUAAACAAUGCCCAGCAGUGAUAGUCAAACCCAAAGGGCCGCGGUGCAGAUUAACACCUCACCGCCACCCUCUAAGUGCUCCCUUAACACCACCCUCCCUUUCCCUUUUGUCUCUAUUUUUAGCUCUCCCAAACCACCUCCAACCCUCCCCCCCCUCUAGUGUAGCCUAUUUAGUAUUAUAGUUUAUUGUAUUUUUAAUUUGUAUAUUUUCAGCCUAACGGCUGCCAUACAUUAAUAAACCUAUUAUUAUUAUUAUUAUUAUUAUUAUUAUUAUUAUUAUUAUUAUUAUUAUCAUAUACACACACACACACACAAACUCAAACAUUCAGAGGAUACCAACAGACUCAAAUAAAUAACCACGCACACAACAUAAACAACGAAACAUACAAAACAUUCAUGCAUAUACAAAUAAACGAAGUAACAAAAAACAAACAGGCAAACACGAGCACAAAUAAACAAACACUAACACGGAAACACACAAACACAAAUACACACACAAAAACAAACACAGCACACGCAAAGAAAUUCAGGUCAGUAAUUUUCUUUUCGUCGAGAUCAUGAUCGCAACAAAAAACAGGCGGGAUGCGUUCCGUUCGUACUGCGGCGGGUGAGCUGAAAUUAUUGAAACAAUUUGUGCCAGUAAAGGAUUGCGGUGUGUGUGUGUGUGUGUGUGUGUGUGUGUGUGUGUGUGUGUGUUUUAUAAUUCAAACAGCAAAAAACCUGAAUAUCGACGCAACAAUUGUCAGAACACGUAGUAUGUUAAGACAAUUUUAGGGAGUUUCUUACAUCCCUUGUCAGUCAACCAGGUACCAGUUUUCAAUAAAUCUGACGCCCAGUUCAUUAGUACGCGAGUUUCUCUGGUUAUUAGUUAGUGGGGCAAAGAGGUAGACAGAAUAUUUAAUAGUCAUCCCAUCUGUACAGCACGCAACCACCCAGCCACCUGCUCGGCAACACACACACACACACACACACACACACACACACACACACACACACACAGUUAACAAUGGCGCACAAAGACUCCCCACCACCACCAUCUGGCUCCGCUUACAGACAGUCGCCCUAUUACACCUGCACACCCGCACGCAGGUAACACCCCAAUCCGCGCUAAAAAUAACCCCGCACACCUGGCUCGAUGACAUUUAACGAGAUUGCCGGAGAUCUACCUUCCGUCUGGUCAGGGGCGGAUUGGUGGCCUUGAGAUAUAAAGAAAAAAUAAUAAUGCAAAUGAUUCCUAGAGAUUGCACUUGUUUAUUCACAGAGGAGACAGAACACACACACACACACACACACACACACACACACACACACACACACACACACACACAGAAAUAGGGACGGGGAGGAUAGUAACAUGCAAGCAGAUAAGAAAAGAAAGAAAGGAGGAAGAGAAAGGGGAUGAAAAAAAAGAAGCAACCAGUAAAGAAAGAAAACGAGGGGAAAUUGGGCUGUAUUACGCCUCUGUUGUGUUUCAUCCUUGGGGAGGCAAGAACUACAUGAACAAAAAAAAGGAAAGCCAAGAAACGCGAGAAAAAUGUAGAGAAAACAGAACACAACAACAUUUCCUCUUUUUUUUCUGUCUCUUUGGUGGGAGGAAAAGGAGGAAGCACAGGCAGAAAUAGAAGGAGGAGGAGGAGGAGGAGGUAAAACAUAUGAGAAAAUUAUUAAGAAAAUAGAGCAAGGUUGCACUUCCCUCCUCCAUCUUUCCCUUUUCCAUCUAGUUGAGGGGAUGAUGAUGAUGAUGAUGAUGAUGAUGAUGAUGAUAAGGAGGAGGAGGAGGAGGAGGAGGGGAAAUAAACGAGAGAAAAUUAUAAAGACAAAGAAAAUAGAGCAAUAUAGGACUUCCCUUCUUCAUCUAGUUAAUGGCUGGAGGAGGAGGAGGAGGAGGAGGAGGAGGAGGAGAUAAAAACAAAAAGGUAUAGUAGGGACGCAGGAAGAAGACUGCGGUGGGGAGAUGGAGAUAAGGAAGGAAGGUGGGGAGGCAGGGAGGAAGGAAGGGAGGGAGGGAGGGAGAGCACCUGGACUGGAGAAUACCUGUUUGAGCGUAUCGACUAGCUUGCACCCACCUCUGCACGCCCUCCCUGCCCCUCAAGGUCGUGCGUAUUAAUAGGCGAAGAGGAGCAGAAGAUGGUCAGCGCGAAAACCCGGUCGAGAAAUAUUCAGAACGGAAGGAAUACGAGGCAGGGCUUAACAUUUUUAUAUGAACUUUUGUUAUACGCAUUCUGAUAUAUUUGUUUAAUCGGAGUCAUUUAUUUUAUUUGUUAUUUUUUGGUAUUUUGAUUUUUUUGCUUAACCUUUGAAUCAGCCUUUUUAUUUUUUUCGUAUUCUUAAUUUUUGCUAAACUUCUAAUUUUUUAUGAGGUUUCGUUAUACGCAUUCUGAUAUAUUUGCUUAAUCUGAGUCAUUUUUUUAUGUUGUUUUUUGGUAUUUUGAUUUUUUUGCUUAACCUUUGAAUUACCCCUUUUUCUUUUUAUUCUUAAUUUUUGCUUAACAUCUAAUUCAACCUUUUUUAUUCAUUUUCGUAUUUUUACAUUUCGUUAACUUUUGACCUUUUUCUUUCAAGCUUUUUUUUUCUCUUAACCUGCGAAUCAACCAUUUUCUUCUUCGUGUUUUUUUUCGUUUUUUUUUUAUUUUUAUUUAUUUAUUUAUUUUUUUUUUUUACAUUUUGCGUUAACUUCUUACUGUUCAUUUUUCUUUCUAACUUUUCUUGGUAUUCUGAUUUUUUUUCUUGAUCCCUGAGGAAAGCUUUUUUGCGGUCUUACUCUUUUCGUAUUUUCUUAGUUUUUGCUUAUUAACUUCUGAAUCAACCUUUUCGGCUUAACCUCGGGAGCAGCCUUUACCUUUUUACCUCCCGUCGUAUUUUUAAACUAUCGCUUAAUUUCUAAAUCAACCUUUUCCACCUUUUUAUCUUUUUUUAAACUUUUUGCUUAGCUUCUGAACCAACCUUUUCAUUUUUAUCUUCCUCCAAUGUUUAAUCGCAUCGGUACUGGUUAUGUGGAAAUACACACAAAGCAAACGCACGCUUAUGCAAACAUACCUGCAUACAUACACACACAAAGCCAGGUGACACUUAUAACUAGUCACUUGGUGUAUACAUAUUCGUAUAUAGUAUAUCGUCACCUUCGUAAAGAGACCGCCUGUCAUUAUUUUCUACUUUUCAGGAAAUCAGAAAAAAAACUGUCAUCAUAUCAUUUGGCUUAAGAUUUAGCCAGAAAUGAAAAGGCCAAUUUUAGAACACUCAAACCCUGAAUAACGAAGGGAACUAUAUAAAAAUGGGCGUCACAUGUAGAAAAAUUGAUGCAGACAAAAACCUGGAAAUCGCUGAAAAAUGACUUUGGCGAUUAUUUGAUGAGGGUGACGAAAUACUGAUUUAUCAUUUUACACACACAAAAAAAAAAAAAAAAAAAAACCACCCCUUACGCCCACAAACUCGGGUACACGACAGCUUGCAAAUAUGAUAACGUACACCGAUUCCUAUACUACGAAUUCUUCUUAAUACCUCCCCGUUUCAUGUCUGGGAGUGAUUGUACAAGCACGAAUACACACUCUUGCCUGUGGCCCGUUCCUUCUUAUCUUGUAUUGCGGGAGUAAAGGUGGAGAGGUGAGGGCGAACAUGAAGGGAAGGGAGACGUUUGGGGGUAAGACAGGGGGUAAGGGAGAGGGAUAGCGGGUUGAAAUGACAGUAAGAGGGAGUGAGAGGAGGGAAAGGAGAGAAGAGGGUGGUUCAGGUGAGAAAUGGGAGAGGGGGCACUGGGAUAAGAUGAGGAAGUGGUAUAGUGAGGGAGAGGGGAAUAAUGAGGCUACACGAAUGAAGAGAGUAAGAGGGAGUGUGAGGAGGGAAAAGAGAGAAGAGGGUGGUUCAGGUGAGAAAUGGGAGAGGGGUCACUGGGAUAAGACCAGGAAGUGGUGGUGAGGGAGAGGGGAACAAUGAGGCUACAAAGAUGCCAGAGUGACGGAAUGGGGACAAUGCUUGGGGUGGCGAAUCAGGCUGAAGGACGGUGGAGAACUGACUAAUAAGGUCCAUAUUCUUAAACGUAUCGGGCUUUAAAAAUUAACCGGGUUUCCAUGGCCGAGUUUCCCGUUCCAGGCGCAGACGUCGUGAAAAACUAACACUAGGAUCCCAAAACAGUCCAUAAAAAUUCCAGCAACUUCUACGAGACUUUUCAAACAGGCGAACUGAGGUGCCGAUACGUUAAGAAUACGGGCUUAAGACGAGGGACUGUGGAGUAGCGUUGCCAGAUUAUCGUAUUCACCACAUUGUAUUUAUCUUUUUAAGCCUCAAACUCUCGUACCUGCACAAAUAACGAUAGAAAAUUAAAGUUAGCGUUAAAGCUGUUAUUUAUUGAUGCUCUUUUUUUUUCCUUUUUGCCAUAGUUAUCGGUCCGAAACUACGAAAAUACAAUGCGAUGAGGGAGGGACUUAAAGGAGUGAGGAUAGCAGGAUAAGGGUGAAGGGUUGAAGGUGAGGGACAGGAAUGAAGUGAGUGUUUAAGAAGGGUUGAAGGUGAGGGACAGGAAUGAAGUCAGUGAAUAAGAAGGGUUGAAGGUGAGGGACAGGAAUGAAGUGAGUGAAUAAGAAGGGUUGAAGGUGAGGGACAGGAAUGAAGUGAGUGAAUAAGAAGGGUUGAAGGUGAGGGACAGGAAUGAAGUGAGUGUUUAAGAAGGGUUGAAGGUGAGGGACAGGAAUGAAGUGAGUGUUUAAGAAGGGUUGAAGGUGAGGGACAGGAAUGAAGUGAGUGAAUAAGAAGGGUUGAAGGUGAGGGACAGGAAUGAAGUGAGUGAAUAAGAAGGGUUGAAGGUGAGGGACAGGAAUGAAGUGAGUGAAUAAGAAGGGUUGAAGGUGAGGGACAGGAAUGAAGUGAGUGAAUAAGAAGGGUUGAAGGUGAGGGACAGGAAUGAAGUGAGUGAAUAAGAAGGGUUGAAGGUGAGGGACAGGAAUGAAGUGAGUGAAUAAGAAGGGUUGAAGGUGAGGGACAGGAAUGAAGUGAGUGAAUAAAGGUGCCAGGUGAGAGAUGGCAAAGCGGGCAGCAUGUGUAAGAGAGCAAGAAAUAGACAUGAGGUGAAGGAGUCCAUGAAGGAGUUGACGUACGAGUGAGGAAGUCAAGAGGACAGAGAGCAUAGUUAUUUAUACUGUUCAACGCCUUCAUCCCACCACCACCACCACCACCAGAGCUCACUGCCAUCACCCUCAUCACUAUCCUCAUGCGGGCUGCCAACACCCCCCCCACUAAAAUCAACAUCACCACCACCCCCACUACAAUCAACAACAACCACCACGCAACAACGACAAACUCCACUACCAUGACUAUCCCUGCUGCCACCUACACCACUACCAAACUUUAACCUACUACAUCACACCACUACUUUAGGCGUCAGUAUCAUCACCACACCACAACCUAUACCACUACCAUCAUCACCACCCAUACCUAACAUCGUCACCACUCACCACCACCUACACCACUACCAUCAUUCAUCACCUAAUGCUGUCACCAUCAUCAACUCCGCCACCACCACCACCAUCAUCAUCAUCCACCCAUUCGCCUACCCCACCGUCACCACCACCGUCACCCUCCAUCACCACCCCUUUUGAACGAUGAUAAUACUAAGUGACUAAUGCUGGACGGGAGCCAUUAUGAACAAACUUGUCUGUUGGAGGGGUGGAGAGGGGGUGGGGGUGGAGUGUGGGGGGGAGGUGAGGGAGUUGGCGUGAGUAAGAGGAUAUGUAAAAAAAGGCAAAGGAGACCAAAAACAGUGUGUGUGUGUGUGUGUGUGUGUGUGUGAGAGAGAGAGAGAGAGAGAGAGAGAGCAUGGUGUUUACUGGGCUCCCACACGCACAGUAUUUUCGGAAUCAAGAGGAAGGAAAAGGCGGGAAUAACGAGCGAGUAUAACCAUAACGCAAUGAAAGAGAGGCUUCCUUGAACAAAAUUUUUAAAAAUGCCUCCUUGUACACACUAGAAAAAAGGACAAAAUAUGCUUCCUUUGCACACAAAAGAAGAAAAAAGAGCUUUCUCUUGCACACUAAAAAAGAGGAAAAGGCCAAAAAUGCUUCCUUUUGCACACUAGGAAAGAGGAAUAGACCAAAAAUUGCUUCCUUGAAUACGCUAAAAACGGAAGAGCAAAAAUAUAUUCCUCCACACGACACUAAUAACCAUGCGCACCACCACAGAAAAGCUUAUUUACGUGACAAAACAAUGAAACUCCUCAGCCUUCUGGAAAAAAAACUGACUUCGUUUUGUCAGGAGAAUGAGAAAACGGCGCCGCGGGUGUUUAUCUUAUAAGGCACAAGGUAGGCUUAAGCAAGGCAAACAAAGGAAACAGGCAACAUUUAAUUAGCAAGGUGGACCGUGGAUGUACUUGAGAAGACGAGGAGCGAGGGUAUGAAGAGGAGGAGGAUAAGGAGGAGGAGGAAGGGGAGAAUGAGCAAGGCGGCCAGCGUUACCAGAUUAUCGUACUCAGAGCAUCGUAUUUACCGGUUUCUGAUCCAUAACAAUUGUCAAGAAACACCAAUAAUUAACCAUUUUAUCGAUAAUUUUAUGUGAAUCCAGUUUUGGGGUGGAGGAAAGUUUUUAGGUCGGAAAUCGGCAAAGAUAAGUGGCUGAGUACGACAAUCUGGUAACGAUUUCUCAGACUCUUCCACUUCUCACUUAAACUAUUUCCAAAGGCCGACAAGGAGGUCAGUCGGGUUCUAAUGAGUGUUUCCUAAGGUUCACGAUACAGCAGAAGGGGCAAACUAUCACCGGGCUCAUAAAGCUACCAGUGGAAGUGCCCAAAACUCAUAGGAAAGCCUUGUCAAAUAUGUGUACUUCAGCGCCGUAAUGUUUAAGAAUACAGCCCUUGGAAAGAUUAAAGGAGAGCAAUUAUUGUAUCCUUCCAUCUUCUUCCUUCCUCGCCUCUUCCCUUAUCAUUUCUCACCCCUCCAAGACUAAUACUCCCCAGGAAAAAUUAUAUAUCAAAGUUAAUGACGAACACGGCCCCAAGGGAGAGAGAGAGAGAGAGAGAGAGAGAGAGAGAGAGAGAGAGAGAGAGAGAGAGAGAGAGAAAAUCAUCUACUCUUUUCGAUUACAGUGCUAUCAAUUCUCUGUCCACUUCCUCCUCCUCCUUUACCGCCCUUCCUCUCUCAACUUUCCUCGUUUGUCUAGGAAGCACAAGAAUUGAAGUUGUGGAGCCUCUUUGAGCGAGCUUUUUGUAACUUUCUUUCGCCUCUGAUGCGCUGAAAUCGGGUUGCCGGUGCGAGUUUAACGCGAAGACUUCCUUCCUGUGCACGCUGUUGUCCUUCCUUACAAAAGUUUCCUCCAGUUGGCACACAUUCUUCACACAACUCUUGGGUCAAUUUGUUUUCUUGUUAUCGGCUGGGUCCAUCCAUCUGUCGUUUCAUCUAUUUGGAAAUUUAUUUUAUCCUUUUUAUAUAAUAAAUUUUCUUUGAGUUUGUCAAUUAGCUAAGUACUUUCAUUGACAUUUUGCCGUUUUGUAUUUUUCAUCCACUCACUCAUCCAUCUUUGUACUUUUUAUCUUACUGUUUUCCUUUUUCAUCUUGUAAGCACUUUUCUUUGCCACUUUUGUCUUUUUUCUUCACAUCCAUUUGCUCAUCCAUGUUGCACUUAUAUUUUCGUUUUCUUUUUGUACUUUUCUUUACCAGUUUUGUAAUUUUUUCUUGCAUCCAUUCAUUCACCCAUCUUGUACUUUUUUUUUCUUUUCAUACUUUUCUUCACCAGUUGUCUUUUUCCCUUGCAUCCACUUACUCAUCUCUAUUUUUUUCUUUUCCUUUCCAUCUAGUACUUUUUUUCCUCCAGUUUUAUCUCUUUUCCUUUUCAUCCAUUCAUUCACCCAUCUUGUACUUUUUUUUAUACUUUUCUUCACCAGUUGUCUUUUUCCCUUGCAUCCACUCACUCAACUCUUUAUUUUUAUUUUACUUUUCAUCUAGUACUUUUUUUCUCCAAUUUUAUCUCUUUUCCUUGUCAUCCAUUCGCUCACCCAUCUUGUACUUUUCAUCCAUCUCUUCUAGGGUCUCAUCACUCUAAACAUUUCGUGCGUGUAUUCGUUAAAGCAACAAACCAACACGAAGUGGGAGAAGAUUGCGAGUUAAUAACAGGAAAAUCCGAUGACGCUGCUGACGGUUUUCCUCCACCGGUUCCUUGUGGCUUAUCUCUCCUGAAAUUACCUACAUCCGUCCUGCGCAGGCUCUCCACGCUGUACUUGUGUCGACAGGUUAUCUUGUGUUGUUGUUGUUUUUUAAUGUUUUUUUCAUUUAAUUCGUCUCUAAUCUACCCUUGUCGUAUCUUAAUUAUUUUGGACAGUCUAAUUUCAAGUCCUUUUCCUAAUUUAUUUAGUUUUUAGAUUCACUAUCUUUGUAACUCCUUUCUUAGGGCCGCUUUCACAGUCGUUUUGUUUGUUUUCAUCGUUACCAAUGGCGCUGAUCGACGCAAUAGUUUUCCACGUGAAACUAGCCUAUGGGGUAGUGGCGGCUGCAGAAGAAGCGAGAGGUGUUGAGAGUGUGUGGCUAGGUGCGGGGCAAGGCUAACCCCGCAGCCGCCACUACCCCAUCGGCCAGUUUUACGUGGAAAUUCUACAAGCUCUCAAGAAGACCUUGCGGUCGAAACGUUAGAGAAUACAAAGUGUUCCUGAUCCAGCCUGG